rnacentral:rRNA from 1 species
UUGGAGUUUGAUCCUGGCUCAGGACAAACGCUGGCGGCGUGCUUAACACAUGCAAGUCGAACGGUCCUCCCUUCGGGGAGGAUAGUGGCGGACGGGUGAGUAACACGUAGAUGACCUGCCCUUGUGUGGGGAAUAACUACUCGAAAGAGUGGCUAAUACCGCAUACGUUCUCCCCUGUUGGAGGGAGAAGAAACCUGGGUGCGUAAUAACACCUGGGGCACGAGGAGGGGUCUGCGGCGGAUUAGCUAGUUGGCGGGGUAACGGCUCACCAAGGCGACGAUCCGUAGCUGGUCUGAGAGGACGGCCAGCCACACUGGGACUGAGACACGGCCCAGACUCCUACGGGAGGCAGCAGUGAGGAAUAUUCCACAAUGGGCGCAAGCCUGAUGGAGCGACGCCGCGUGCGGGAAGAAGGCCUUCGGGUUGUAAACCGCUUUUGUUGGGGAUGAUUACGGGAUAGAGAAUAUCUAUCCCUAAAGACAGUACCCGACGAAUAAGCCUCGGCUAACUACGUGCCAGCAGCCGCGGUAAUACGUAGGAGGCGAGCGUUGUCCGGAUUUACUGGGCGUAAAGCGCGCGCAGGCGGCACUCCAAGUAAGGUGUGAAAUCUCCCUGCUCAACGGGGAGGGCGCACUUUAGACUGAGGAGCUAGAGGACGGUAGAGGGGGGUGGAAUCGCUGGUGUAGCGGUGAAAUGCGUAGAGAUCAGCAGGAACACCCGUGGCGAAGGCGGCCCCCUGGGCCGUACCUGACGCUGAGGCGCGAAGGCUAGGGGAGCGAACGGGAUUAGAUACCCCSGGUAGUCCUAGCAGUAAACGAUGGCCACUAGGUGUGGGGGGUGUUGACCCCUUCCGUGCCGAAGCCAACGCAUUAAGUGGCCCGCCUGGGGAGUACGGUCGCAAGACUAAAACUCAAAGGAAUUGACGGGGACCCGCACAAGCAGCGGAGCGUGUGGUUUAAUUCGAUGCGACGCGAAGAGCCUUACCAAGGCUUGACAUGCACUCGCAAUCUCCUGAAAGGGAGCCCUCCUUCGGGACGGGUGCACAGAUGUUGCAUGGCUGUCGUCAGCUCGUGUCGUGAGAUGUUGGGUUAAGUCCCGCAACGAGCGCAACCCUCGUCCUUAGUUGAAAAUCUAGGGAGACCGCCGGAAACAAACCGGAGGAAGGUGGGGAUGACGUCAAGUCAGCAUGACUCUUACGUCUUGGGCUACACACACGAUACAAUGGCCGUUACAGCGAGAAGCCAGCCCGCGAGGGUGAGCAGACCUCUGAAAGGCGGCCCCAGUUCAGAUUGCACUCUGCAACCCGAGUGCAUGAAGGCGGAGUUGUUAGUAACCGCGUGUCAGCAUAGCGCGGUGAAUAUGUUCCCGGGUCUUGUACACACCGCCCGUCACGUCAUGGGAGCCGGCAACACCUGAAGUCCGUGAGCUAACCCUUUGGGGGGGCAGCGGCCGAGGGUAGGGCUGGUGACUGGGACGAAGUCGUAACAAGG